rnacentral:rRNA from 1 species
UGCCAGCCGCCGCGGUAAUACGGAGGGUGCGAGCGUUGUCCGGAUUUAUUGGGCGUAAAGAGCUCGUAGGCGGUUUUGUAAGUCGGAUGUGAAAACUCAGGGCUCAACCCUGAGACGCCAUCCGAUACUGCAAUGACUAGAGUCCGGUAGGGGAGCAUGGAAUUCCUGGUGUAGCGGUGGAAUGCGCAGAUAUCAGGAGGGACACCAAUGGCGAAGGCAGUGCUCUGGGCCGGUACUGACGCUGAGGAGCGAAAGCAUGGGGAGCAAACAGGAUUAGAUA